GAGAAGAAUUAAGAAANAUAGAGACUGCUAA
rnacentral:tRNA from 1 species